GAAGGGAUCGACCUGCCCUACUCCUGCCGCGCCGGCUCCUGCUCCUCCUGCGCCGGGAAGGUGGUCUCCGGCCAGCUGGACCAGUCCGACCAGAGCUUCCUCGACGACGACCAGAUCGAGGCGGGGUGGGUGCUCACCUGCGCCGCGUACCCCACCUCGGACCUCGUCAUCGAGACCCACAAGGAGGAGGAGCUCACCGCUUGAAUUCACUGAUUUUGUUUAGUUCGACCCGUUUCCACCGUGCGCGUGUACCAUGCACGACGUACCAACUGUACCAGGAUAUUGAGGAAUUACAAAGUAUAAUUAGUACUUGCUGCUGUGGUCGGAUUUUGAUUGCUUUUGCUUAUUAAUGCCUAGUGUUCAUUUUCUCAAGUCAAUCAAGUAAUGAAAAGAGAUGAGAUUGUGCUCCAUGUCUCCGUUACGCGUGUCUCGCG
rnacentral:lncRNA from 1 species